ACGGAAGGCAGCAGUGGGGGAUAUUGCACAAUGGGCGAAAGCCUGAUGCAGCGACGCCGCGUGAGGGAAGAAGGUCUUCGGAUUGUAAACCUUUGUCCCAUGGGAAGAUAAUGACGGUACCAUGGGAGGAAGCCACGGCUAACUACGUGCCAGCAGCCGCGGUAAUACGUAGGUGGCAAGCGUUGUCCGGAUUUACUGGGUGUAAAGGGUGCGUAGGCGGGGCAGCAAGUUGGAUGUGAAAUCCUCGGGCUCAACUCGAGAACUGCAUUCAAAACUGUUGCUCUUGAGUGCAGUAGAGGCAAGCGGAAUUCCCGGUGUAGCGGUGAAAUGCGCAGAGAUCGGGAGGAACACCAGUGGCGAAGGCGGCUUGCUGGGCUGUUACUGACGCUGAGGCACGAAAGCAUGGGUAGCAAACAGGAUUAGAUACCCUGGUA
rnacentral:rRNA from 1 species